ACAUCCAGCGAACUUGGCAGAGAUGCCUUGGUGCCUUCGGGAACGCUGAGACAGGUGCUGCAUGGCUGUCGUCAGCUCGUGUUGUGAAAUGUUGGGUUAAGUCCCGNAACGAGCGCAACCCUUAUCCUUUGUUGCCAGCGAUUCGGUCGGGAACUCAAAGGAGACUGCCGGUGAUAAACCGGAGGAAGGUGGGGAUGACGUCAAGUCAUCAUGGCCCUUACGAGUAGGGCUACACACGUGCUACAAUGGCGCAUACAAAGAGAAGCGACCUCGCGAGAGCAAGCGGACCUCAUAAAGUGCGUCGUAGUCCGGAUCGGAGUCUGCAACUCGACUCCGUGAAGUCGGAAUCGCUAGUAAUCGUGGAUCAGAAUGCCACGGUGAAUACGUUCCCGGGCCUUGUACACACCGCCCGUCACACCAUGGGAGUGGGUUGCAAAAGAAGUAGGUAGCUUAACCUCCGGGAGGACGCUUACCACUUUGUGAUUCAUGACUGGGGUGAAGUCGUAACAAGGUAAGCGUAGCGAG
rnacentral:rRNA from 1 species